rnacentral:rRNA from 1 species
CCUACGGGAGGCAGCAGUGGGGAAUAUUGCACAAUGGGGGAAACCCUGAUGCAGCGACGCCGCGUGAGUGAAGAAGUAUUUCGGUAUGUAAAGCUCUAUCAGCAGGGAAGAAAAUGACGGUACCUGCAAAGGAAGCACCGGCUAACUCCGUGCCAACAUCCGCUGUAAUACGGCGGGUGCGCGCGUUAAUCGGAAUUACUGGGCGUAAAGCGCUCGUCAGCGGUAUUUCAAGUCAAGGGUGAAAUCCCCGCGGUCAACGUGGGAACUGCCUUUGAAACUGGCAAACUGGAGUGUGUGGGAGGAUAGUGGAAUUCCAGGUGUAGGAGUGAAAUCCGUAGAUAUCUGGAGGAACAGCAGUGGCGAAGGCGACUAUCUGGCACAUAACUGACGCUGAGGAGCGAAAGCGUGGGUAGCAAACAGGAUUAGAUACCCGAGUAGUC